rnacentral:rRNA from 1 species
CCUACGGGAGGCAGCAGUGAGGAAUAUUGGUCAAUGGGCUUACGCCUGAACCAGCCAAGUCGCGUGAGGGAAGACUGCCCUAUGGGUUGUAAACCUCUUUUGUCAGGGAGCAAUUGGCGCUACGUGUAGCGUUAUCGAGAGUACCUGAAGAAAAAGCAUCGGCUAACUCCGUGCCAGCAGCCGCGGUAAUACGGAGGAUGCGAGCGUUAUCCGGAUUUAUUGGGUUAAAGGGGUGCGUAGGCGGAAUGCCAAGUCAGCGGGAAAAUCGCGGGGCUCAACCUCGCUCCGCCGUUGAAACUGGCGUUCUUGAGUGAGCGAGAGGGAUGCGGAAUGCGUGGUGUAGCGGUGAAAUGCGUAGAUAUCGCGCAGAACACCGAUUGCGAAGGCAGCAUACCGGCGCCCAACUGACGCUGAAGCACGAAAGCGUGGGUAUCGAACAGGAUUAGAUACCCGAGUAGUC